GAUGAAGAACGUAGCGAAAUGCGAUAAGUAAUGUGAAUUGCAGAAUUCAGUGAAUCAUCGAAUCUUUGAACGCACAUUGCGCCCGCCAGUAUUCUGGCGGGCAUGCCUGUUCGAGCGUCAUUACAACCCUCAGGCCCCCGGGCCUGGCGUUGGGGAUCGGCGGAAGCCCCCUGCGGGCACACGCCGUCCCCCAAAUACAGUGGCGGUCCCGCCGCAGCUUCCAUUGCGUAGUAGCUAACACCUCGCAACUGGAGAGCGGCGCGGCCACGCCGUAAAACACCCAACUUCUGAAUGUUGACCUCGAAUCAGGUAGGAAUACCCGCUGAACUUAAGCAUAUCAAUAAGCGGAGGA
rnacentral:misc_RNA from 1 species